rnacentral:rRNA from 1 species
UGAACGCUAGCGGCAGGCUUAACACAUGCAAGUCGAGGGGCAGCGAGUAGAUUGCUUGCAAUCUAUGUCGGCGACCGGCGCACGGGUGCGUAACGCGUAUGCAACCUACCCAUUACAGGGGGAUAACACUGAGAAAUCGGUACUAAUACCCCAUAACAUCCAGGGAGGCAUCUUCUUGGGUUGAAAACUCCGGUGUAAUGGAUGGGCAUGCGUUGUAUUAGUUAGUUGGU